GUCCUUAGCCAUUGCAGCAUCAACACUAGAUUCUUUGUUGGAUCUCAUGGUUGGUGGCAUACUUUGGUUCACUCACUUGUCAAUGAAAAGUAUAAAUAUUUAUAAAUACCCCAUUGGAAAAUUGAGGGUGCAGCCUGUUGGCAUAAUCAUUUUUGCUGCUAUCAUGGUGUCACUAGGUACAAUCUGUAGCUUAAUUUGUUGAUAGUUUUCACAAAUUUUUCUCUUUCUUGCUUCAUUUCCACAUUGAAGGCUGUUUGGCUUCCUUAGUGAACACAUAUAUCAUCUAGUGUGUUUUACUCUGUUUGUUACAGAGUAGAUAAAUUCAUGAGUCUUGGAUGAAACAAGGAAAAAAUAAAGCCUAUUGAGUGACUUUGUUUUAUUAAAUUUGUCUAAAGAAGACGUGUUAUUUGAUUCUAGAAAUUUUCUUUGGUCAUUUUCUGCCGGAAAUCUCUAAAGUAUAUGGUCAUGAUUGCCAACUACAGACACUUAAUAAGGAAUUACAAGAGUUUUGACUAAGCAUUGGACAUGGUAAUGGUACAUAACCAAAUAAGAGGGACUUUUUCUGCUUAUCCUACUACUGCUCUUAGAGAAGAGUUUUCUGAAUAUAUAAUAAGGGGGAAAGAUGCUUAUAAAGUUAUAAUUUUAUUGAAUAAAAAAUAUUAAGUGUAUGUUGGAGUAGCUUAGGAAGGAGAGGUUUGUUACAGGUAGGCAGCUGUAUAAUUAUAAAACCAACAAGUCAGUAAAUUAGCUUAUGUAAGCUUUGAAUUUAGUUCUUUUUUCUUCUUUUUUAACUAAUUUGUUUUUUUUUUGAAUUUGGGAAUAAGUUAUAUCAGAAUGUAUAAUUGCUUGGUUUCAUAUUUUCUAAGAAAAUCCUUUUAAUUGUUUAAUUUCUCUUGUGUUGAGGAGGUUUUGCUUUUGUUUCAUUAUUUGGCCACACAACAUAUGAUAUAUAUAGUUUAAUUUGUAAAGUAAACCUUCUUUUAAUCUUAUUUGCCAUUAGUUUUGUUUUGAUCACUAUUUGUGAAGUAACUUCUUAGUAAGAAAAAAGAAGAUGCUCAUUUUUGUGUGUUUUGGUCAAAUUUAAGGAACAUUGGAAGGAGAAGAAAAGCCUGAUGCCACAUUUUCCUUCAAGGAAGAUGAUUUUGUCAAAAUUGCAUUUGGAAAGAUGAAUCCCCAGAUUGCUUUCAUGAGAGGCAAAAUCUGGUCAAAGGGAAUAUGCAACUCUUUUCAGUGGAACAACAGAGAAGUCAAGCUCUGGAAGCUCAUGCUACUGCUUUUGCACAAUUUAAAGUUCAAGGGAAUGAGAAUCCUUAUACUCUCAUUUCCUUUGCAACAAAGACUUUUAAUGCUGGCCAAAUUACAUCAAAGCUGCAUGUUAUAGAUCUUGGUGCCCAACCAGGCGGUGUGUUUUGCUUUAAUGGGCAUUGUUAGCUCAUUUCAUGCUCAAGAAAUUGAUGUGAGUGGGCAAUUGGAGAGUCGAGUGUGGUUCUAGCCUUCGGGUACUGUGUGACUUCAGGCCAUCAACUACAGAGGUUAACAUAACAAUAAAGCUUUUACUUGUGUUGCUUUU